rnacentral:rRNA from 1 species
UACGUAGGGUGCGAGCGUUGUCCGGAAUUAUUGGGCGUAAAGGGCUCGUAGGCGGUCUGUCACGUCGGGAGUGAAAACUCAGGGCUUAACCCUGAGCCUGCUUCCGAUACGGGCAGACUAGAGGUAUGCAGGGGAGAACGGAGUUCCUGGUGUAGCGGUGAAAUGCGCAGAUAUCAGGAGGAACACCGGUGGCGAAGGCGGUUCUCUGGGCAUUACCUGACGCUGAGGCACGAAGGUCAGGGGAGCAAACGGG